rnacentral:rRNA from 1 species
AGUCGAACGGCAGCACGGGAGCAAUCCUGGUGGCGAGUGGCGAACGGGUGAGUAAUAUAUCGGAACGUGCCCAGUCGUGGGGGAUAACGCAGCGAAAGCUGUGCUAAUACCGCAUACGAUCUCUGGAUGAAAGCGGGGGACCUUCGGGCCUCGCGCGAUUGGAGCGGCCGAUAUCAGAUUAGCUAGUUGGUGGGGUAAAAGCUCACCAAGGCGACGAUCUGUAGCUGGUCUGAGAGGACGACCAGCCACACUGGAACUGAGACACGGUCCAGACUCCUACGGGAGGCAGCAGUGGGGAAUUUUGGACAAUGGGCGCAAGCCUGAUCCAGCAAUGCCGCGUGCAGGAUGAAGGCCUUCGGGUUGUAAACUGCUUUUGUACGGAACGAAACGGCUCUUUCUAAUACAGAGGGCUAAUGACGGUACCGUAAGAAUAAGCACCGGCUAACUACGUGCCAGCAGCCGCGGUAAU